UACGUAGGGCGCAAGCGUUAUCCGGAAUUAUUGGGCGUAAAGCGCGCGCAGGCGGUCCUUUAAGUCUGAUGUGAAAGCCCACGGCUGAACCGUGGAGGGUCAUGGGAAACUGGAGGACUUGAGUACAGAAGAGGAAAGUGGAAUUCCACGCGUAGCGGUGAAAUGCGUAGAGAUGUGGAGGAACACCAGUGGCGAAGGCGACUCUCUGGUCGGUUUCUGACGCUGAGGUGCGAAAGCGUGGGUAGCAGACAGA
rnacentral:misc_RNA from 1 species